AGUACAGUCAACAAAUUUCAGUCUCCAAAGAAUGUCAGGGACUGGGAGGUUGGAGGCCUGAUAUCUGUGAGUCUGAGAGCCAAGGACUGGAGAGGUUGGAGGCCUGAUAUCUAUGCUGCCCGGUCUGCUGAGUUCCUCCAGCAUUUUGUGUGUGUCACAAGAAGCACCCAAGCUCUUUCUCAGCCUCACGCUGCAUCAGCAAGGAAUGACCUCUCACGCUGAAUGUUGCCUGCCAAAAAGAGCCAAGAAGCGCCUGAGCACUCAUGUUGUGUCACCAACAAAGAGCCUCAUGCACUGAUUGACCCCCUACCAUCAGUCAGGAGGUACGGUGGCAUUAGGACAAGAUGGAGAUCAGCUUCCUACCCCAGGCUGUGAGAUUACUGAACUCUGCCACCGCUCAAGCCGCAUCACUCAUGAAGCAUCAGUGGCAAUUUAUACUGCGUCGUAGCCAUGAAACAAAGAAAACCAUGCAAGUCAGUUGAAAGAGAAACAGCAAACCCACCCUCUCCCGCAGAUAAAAAAGGAACGGCAACACAAUCAUCAACCCUCCAACACCCCUUCCUUUGCUCAGAAUGCAACAAGAACAUCAAUCCCCCCGCAUGAAACACAACAUUAGCCCUUAAAUCCCCCUCUCCCGCACAAAAUACGAACUAAAGCACAACAAGAACAGCAACUCCCAAACCUCCCUCCCCUGCAGAAAAGAACAAGAAAGAACGGGCAAAAACACAGAAUAUAAAAACCGUAAGGCUGAAGAAGUUCAGAAUCCAUAAUCCAGUCCAGAAAUGCAGAAGGUUGGUAGCAUCCUUUGACAUCAUCGAAAGAGUUUCAACGCAACUGAGCCCGAUCUGUGGACAGAGAUUUCCGGGCCGAAUCGAAGUGGGAAAGUCAAGCGUUUCCAAGCAGCAGAACCUGUUGUUUGGACGGAGAUUUAAGUGCUGGGCCGGAUUGAAGAAUUCAGGGUGUUGAGGCCCGAGGCAAAUUAUGGGCAGUUCAGAUUGCUGCUCAAAGAGGCAGAACCCAAUGUUCAGACCGAGAGUUAAACGCCAGACUCGAUUGAAAAGGUUAGGGUUCAGCGGCUCAAGGCAAGGUUCUCCACAACGUUUACUUGGCUCUACAUUAAACUAUGGGACUUUCUUGUGGAUUUCAGUUCAGAAACACUAUUUGCUUGCAGUUACUGUUUGGAUUAUAUAUUUUUUCAUUGCACAUUGGGUGUUCAACGGUCUUCUUUAUGAGUUAUUUUAUUUUGUUUUUUUAUGGGCAAAAUGUGGUUUUUAUUCUUUGCACUUUGAGUGUUAGAGAGUCUCCUUUUAUUUAUAUACAUAUAGCUUCUUUUUUGGGUGUCUUUGUUUCGUGGCUGCCUGUUAGGAGACAAAUCUCAAGGUUGUAUAACGCAUACGUACUUUGAUAAUAAUUAUACGUUGAAGUUUGUACUUUGAGAGGGAGAUACCACUUGAACAUAGAGGCCCUCCCUCUGGGCAGAGCGAUAGGCCUCACAGGCUCCUUCUCCAGCAGCAGAGUGUGGUGCCUGUGUAGUGCUUGUCUUAUCUCGCGUGACUGGAUGCUGCCCUUAUUAUGAGAAAACCUACUUACAUAGUACUACACUAGGUGCUAGAAGACCAACAGAAGCUCCAGAAUAGAAAACACACACUUCUGGAAGUAAGUUUGUUUAUUAAAAAAAUAACAAUAUAUACAAAAUAUUUACAUGAGUAAAUUUCAAAAUUCCAACAUUGUUUUAGGUUCCAAAUUUCAGAUAUCAAAUGGAAGCUAGAAUUCCUUUUUAGUUAGAGUCAGUGAGAUUUAUUAGAAUAACCUCUAUCAAUCCAAUUUUUCUAACUAAUUCUAGUGUUAUUCCUUAUUUAAAGGUUUACAAACUACCAAUUACCUUUCUAUUUAUCCCUAGUGAGUUAGAAAAUUAACCGAAUUCCUAUUCUUAAGUAUUAUGGUUAACUUCAGUUUCAGUUCCAGGUCAGUAUGCCAACAAUCCAAAAAGUAUAUGUAUGCAGCUUAACAUUUUUCACGACAAAUUCUCCAAAAUCACAACUUUUAAACAAAGCAUAUCUCAUUCAGUAACUUAUUCAAGUCUUUGCAAAAAUAAGCAGUUCAUGCAGAAAAUCAAAUUCAGAUCCUUCGAAUCAGAAAUAAACUUAUAGAUCCAACCGUACUACAAACGUUUGUAAAUCCUCUUUGUUAUUGAACAUUUUGUUCCUGCGCUGGUUCUUCAAUCUUUGGUGGCUCGCCACCUUAUUUCUUGGUUUGUUGGAUGAAAUAGUUGGUCAUCCAUGAAAAGCUGAUUCACAAAACAUAGACAAAAAAAAACUGACCUGUAUCCAACAGGAUUACAAUCCGUAAAUUCUUAUACACUUUCUAUUUUCUAUUUCAAAGUAACUCAAUAUCACACUGUCAUUUCCAAACGUUUCUCAGUUACAACACUAUUUCACACAGUUGGAACAGUAGAAGUGUUUUAACUCACAAAAUCUUUUGGUAUGAUUUAACAGAACUAAUUCCCGGUUACCCGCUGCAAUCUUGGACACUCAUCUCUGCCGAUAUUGUCUCGUUACAACUGCCGCUUGUUAUAGCCAUAGCUGCAAUAGAUCUUUUAUCACUAUCGUCUCUGCUCCGGGGUCUCACCCUGUGGAUUUCCAGUAAUUAGAUGCUGACUACUAAUUCCUCUUUUCACAAUUCAUAUCUUUAGUUAGAUUCUACAGUUUGCUGCAUUUCUGUUGUUUGUCCACGUCUGUGUCAGCCACGUCUUGUUCUGGCACGGCUCUUUUUCCCCUCAUUUCCAUCUCUCCACUUGUGGAGCUUUCUAACAUUACACCUCUGGGUUUAAUUAAUCUGGGUUACAAGAGUGAUCCCACCAGCAAAUAAAAGGCAGGUAGUCGGUGCUUGCUUUCCACGUUCCCCUCGUUUCGAUCUCCCUCAUCGCUUUAAUUGACAAAUAAUGGAAGCAAAAUGGUGUCGAGCUUCGGCUUGCACCCUGUCUCGUAGUGUUAUGUGUGUGAGUUAUACACACUGUAUUGUGCACCUUGGUCAGGAGGAACAUAGUUUUGCUUGGCCGUGUUUACCGUUGAAUGACAAUAAACUGAACUUGAACAUGAUUGACUGUAGAUAGACAGCCUACCUCCAACAAAAACACAAA